AACGCCGGGGGGCGGAGGCGGGGACACCCUGUGAGCGGCGGCGGCCCCGCCCCCGCCGCCCCUCCGCGCCGGACGCGCGCUCCCGGGCACUCAGCGCGCACGCGCGGACUGACGGCGCGGGUGGGGCCGCCCCCACCGCUGCCCCGCGACCCCGGCCCUGCUCCUGGCCAGCACCGGGGUUCGGCGGGGGCGGGAGUGGGGGCCGCCUUCCGGGAGCGGCCGCCCCUCCCUCUGGGAGUGGCUGGGAAGAGAAAGAGGCCCUCUCCCGGCGGGGGCCGCUGGUCCAAGUUUGGGACCCGAUUAAGGUUACGCGUGCAGCCCGGUGAAGCCCGCGUGGCCGCGGCGGCGCGGCGCGGGGGCGUGUGCACCGGGAGGAGGCGCUGGGGAACGACCACGGGGGGGCGCUGUGCGCGCGCUCUGGAGCCUCGGUGGCUCCGCCGCUGGAAGGCUGGAAGGCGAGCGGACCAGAGUGAAGCGCCGUCUCACCUUUACUCCACUAAGUGUAACCUCGCAAUUUAGAACGUUGCCGUGUGCAGCUCCCUCGUUCACGGAUGCGACGGACGGUGCAACUCGACCUGAAAUAGCAGCAGAGUGUCUCGCGGUAGCCGAAGCUAACAUGAAGAGAAUAGCUGGAGAUGAUCCAUUGCCAUCUCAAGAUGACCUGAAGUCCACAAUGCUCAGCAAAGCUGGAGUGAGUGAACUCCUUACUUCUACCUGCCAAGAAGCUCCAUGUUGCUACUGUGUCCAUUUUGUCCCAAGCAACAGGUUAGGGAGGAGUAACAGGGUCUGUACGGUAAAAGGAAAAAACACUGAGGUAACAAAGAAUGCAGCAUCGACACGCAGAAGGGCCUUCUCACACAUCAGAGGCAGACCUGUGUCUGUGGCCCUGGUCUCUGUUUGAGUCCCUCUUUUGUAGCCUCUCCAACACUUAGUUGGGGCCACCAAAGCUUCUUUAACCCGCAGUACACAGUAGUUCACAGCAUCACUUGGAAAAGAAUUUGGAACUUCAACCUGGAAGGCCAUGGAUUCACCUCGGACUCCUGCUCCUUCUCUCAGCCCAGACCCAGCUUUCUACAGCUCAGAAAACCUGAGCAGGACUCUCCCCUUCCCCACUCUCCCUGGACUGGCCAGAAACAGAAAGAGCCUGAAAGUGAUAAAUGUUGGGAAGGAGAAAUGAAUCAAGGCACAGGUGUGAGGAGCCAGUGAAGAGAGUCACGAAAUAUUUUCGAGAAAAGCUCCUUGUGGCAAAUUCUGUUUUUCCUGGAGCUACCCAAGCCCAAGACACACUUCUGGAGCCAGCCAAGGAAGAGGCCCAUGGAAUUUUAAGUAUCUUGAAAACAAAAGAAAUGCAGGCAGAGGCGCCCUAUGUAUUUAUGAGCAGACAUGAUUCAACGCAGUAAUGAUGCAUUUGUUCUUUAUGCCCAAAGACAAAAUUACUGGUAAAACAUCAAGGAAAACCCUUGGAAAAGGAAAAGCCUCAUAAUAACAAAUAUUAAUAGCUACUCUAAAACUGGCCUUUACCAGGUUCUGGGCACUGUUCUAUGUCUUUCAUGCACAUUAUUUAAUCUUCAUAACAACCUACAAAGUAGAUACUUUUAUAUCCCCAAUUUGCAGAGGGGAAAACAGAGAGGCUGAGUAGCUCACUCCAGGUCAGACAGCGAGUUCGAGGUGGAGCUGGGAUAGGAACCCAGAUGGGGCCACUCUGCCUGACCCUUGACUCCAUGCUGUCUUGUGAGGUUAAACACUCAUAAAAGACAGACACCAUGAGUUGUGGUUUUCCUUAAGAGCUAAAAAUUUCUUCCUUGAAAAUAAAGGCUAAAAAGCCCAUCCACAAGAAAGUGUGUUCGGGGCAAGUGAGUAUGGCAUAUCCCGGGGAUUAACUUGACUUCUCUUCAAUUUAUAUAUUGAAAAGUAAGUCCUUUGCAGACUUGGGAACUCUAUUGUUAGUAACAAAUGACUUGCACCACCACUGACAGCCCAUUGCAACCCCCCAGCGGGGUGCGACACCACCAUUGUGGAAAACAGACCUAAGCCGAGAGGGAUUUAUUGUGACUGAGUCGGAAAAGGUAGCUGGAAGGUGCAUAAAACUAGAUGUCAGCAGUUCAUGUCAGGUCUCUUAGAUUAGUGCCUUUCUGGAAAAGUGGGCAAGAAAAGUAGCCAGCGGAGGAGCUAACACAUCACAGUGUGGCAGUCGAGCCAGCAGAGAUAAGCUUCAGGGCGUCCUGCUGCCUGCCAAAACUACAGGACAGAAGUCCCAGAAGCCACAGCAUUUAUUGCAUAAGAUGAAAUCACUCCCAGCUGAGAAUUCUCCCCUUUGAAACAGCAAAUGACAAGCCCUGGGGAGGAGGAAUGAGCCACUUCUUCCAGGACAUUUGCAAGCUACCACUUGGCCAUUUUGGUCCCUUGGCACUCCUGGUAAAGCAGGCGACUUUGGUAAGUCACUGAAUGUUACUGUGAGAAGAUGAAAUAUAUGGUUCCCUAAGUCCCUUCUAACUCAAACCCCCUGUGGUGCUUUGAUUAAAAGGAGCCUGGUGAGUCGUCUUGAUUCACCGUGAGAAGGACCAGCUGAGACUGCUGGAUUUUCACAGCAUGCUUUCCUCCUGCCCUCGAUCUCCCAACAAUCCACCCCAAAGAGUUUUCUUUUUCAUUUCAAAUGAAUAGAUUCUGUAGAA